GGCAGGCGGCAGCUGGGCAAAUUCCAGUAGAAAUUCCCUGCUGGAAUGGUGCCAGCUGGUUGCCUUUCUCCUGGAGCUGGAGCCCUUCUUCCCAAGGUAGACUUGCACAGAGGCAGCUGUGGAGGUCAUGCUUUUAUGGCCAGUGCUGGGUGUCAUAAGCCCUGAUUUGUUUGCUUCUGUGGUGGAGAUCUUGCAGUUCAGGCUGGGUGCCCGCACAGUAAAGUCCCCAAGCUGCAGAGAAACAGGAAAGCCCUGCUGUAGGAGCACUCCAUCAGGAUAAGAAAGAUGCAAGUCAUUAGACUGAUUAAACCAGGUGCCUGUGUCACUAGGGAAGACAAAGAACAUGAGAAUUAUGGUAUAAGCUUUUCUAAAGUGUUUUUUUGGGGUGGGGGGAAAGACAGAGGUUUUAAUAUUACUGGUGUGCUUUGAGCCUUCUGGAAAGGCAAUAUAGGAGAGAACUUCAGUAUGGAACUUUCAGGUGUCAGGCCUUAAAAAUGCCACCUAAAGGGCUUCUACUAUUCUAAACCAUAAUGCAUUUUGCCAAUGAAUUUGUAGAUGUUUAAGUUUUGGUUGUUAAGUCUGUUGGUGAACAAAUGCCACCACCUGGUUAAUAUGAAAAAGGAAUGUUUUGUUCCUUCAGUCUCAAGCUUCUCAGUUGCUGAGUGUAGCUGCUCUGUUUAGGUAAGGCUGAAAGAGCUCAGUGCUGCAGCAUUUAAAAUUGACCAAAGGCUCCUUCCCAGGGCAGGAUGUUGCCAGAGCUGUUACUCUGUAAUUUAGAACUGGAUCCUGGAAUGAAUAUUCUGGGGUGAAGCAUUCCCAGAGGACAGCUGGAUGCUGUAGUCACAAAGCUCUUACUGGUGACCUGCUGGAAGUCAAAGCUGCCACACAGCAACUGGCCAGUGCUAGAGACUGCUGUUACUUCAAAUCCCAGAGCAGGGUGCCUGCCUGCACCUUUCUCCUGGUGAAAAGCAGGACACCCUUUCCCUCAAAGCAGGGAGGCCCCAAAUCCUCAUUAAAUGCAGCACACAGAGACUUAAAGGCAGCAGGGUUCUUAGAGGAAAUGUGUCAUAGCUAGUCAGUGCAGUUGCAUGAUUACAUGAGAUUUUAUGUAUCAAUAAGCAUUGAAGUGUGGUGAUCUUACCAGCUGCAUGUUCUUUCUAGUUCUGUUUCUUCCAGUGCACAGCAAGGAGUUGUCAUUAGGUGUCCAAUUUGCAUGGAAUUUUACUCCGAGAUUCUACAACAUGGACAACAGCUUGUGGUGACCCUGUGUGGCCAUGUCUUCUGCAGUAGAUGCCUCCCUAUUGCCCUGGAGACUACUCACAGGUGCCCAACCUGCAGGGUGGAACUUACUCCAGAUCUGUAUAUUCCCAUUUAUAUAUGAGUGCUUCUGCUUCUCAGGACACACUCAGAUGGAUCUUGGACAAUAGGCAGUGGAGAGACUUGUUUCUUUGUCUAUAUAGUUCUUCCUGUACAUAGUUUCAUUUUUUUCUGAAUUCAAUUUAAAUAAAGUUUUGAAUAGUUGAAA